rnacentral:rRNA from 1 species
UGGGGAAUAUUGCACAAUGGGGGAAACCCUGAUGCAGCGACGCCGCGUGAGCGAAGAAGGUCUUCGAAUCGUAAAGCUCUGUCCUAUGGGAAGAUAAUGACGGUACCAUAGGAGGAAGCCCCGGCUAACUACGUGCCAGCAGCCGCGGUAAUACGUAGGGGGCAAGCGUUGUCCGGAAUCACUGGGCGUAAAGGGUUCGCAGGCGGAAAUGCAAGUCAGUUGUGAAAGGCAGAGGCUCAACCUCUGUAAGCAAUUGAAACUGUAUUUCUUGAGAUGUGGGGAGGCAAGUGGAAUUCCUAGUGUAGCGGUGAAAUGCGUAGAUAUUAGGAAAAAUACCUGUGGCGAGGGCGACUUGCUGGACACAAACUGACGCUAAGGAACGAAAGCGUGGGUAGCAAACAGG